rnacentral:rRNA from 1 species
UACGGGGGGGGCAAGCGUUGUUCGGAAUUACUGGGCAUAAAGGGCGCGUAGGCGGCUUUCUAAGUCAGGGGUGAAAUCCGGCAGCUCAACUGUCGCAGUGCCUUUGAUACUGGAGAGCUCGAGGGAGGUAGGGGUCUGCGGAAUUCCCGGUGUAGCGGUGAAAUGCGCAGAUAUCGGGAGGAACACCGGUGGCGAAGGCGGUUCUCUGGGCCUUACCUGACGCUGAGGAGCGAAAGCGUGGGGAGCGAACAGG